rnacentral:rRNA from 1 species
GACGAACGCUGGCGGCGUGCUUAACACAUGCAAGUCGAACGAUGAUCAGGAGCUUGCUCCUGUGAUUAGUGGCGAACGGGUGAGUAACACGUGAGUAACCUGCCCCUGACUCUGGGAUAAGCGUUGGAAACGACGUCUAAUACUGGAUAUGAUCACUGGCCGCAUGGUCUGGUGGUGGAAAGAUUUUUUGGUUGGGGAUGGACUCGCGGCCUAUCAGCUUGUUGGUGAGGUAAUGGCGCACCAAGGCGACGACGGGUAGCCGGCCUGAGAGGGUGACCGGCCACACUGGGGCUGAGACACGGCCCAGACUCCUACGGGAGGCAGCAGUGGGGAAUAUUGCACAAUGGGCGAAAGCCUGAUGCAGCAACGCCGCGUGAGGGAUGACGGCCUUCGGGUUGUAAACCUCUUUUAGUAGGGAAGAAGCGAAAGUGACGGUACCUGCAGAAAAAGCACCGGCUAACUACGUG